rnacentral:rRNA from 1 species
AUGUGGUCUACCCGAAGGCACAAGGAAACCUGUCAGUCGAACAAGGAGAACCGUUCCAAAGUUAAGUUCCAUCAGAAAACUGGUUCUCGCCCCUACAUUUCCCAUGUGCAUGCUUUGAAAGAGGCUCGUAAGGGUGAAGAGUUGACUGCGUUUGAUCUAUUCAAGGAGUGCCACAAUGGCAAGAAGACUGGAUUCUCUGAGCCAGUUAAGAAGGCGAUAGCUGACAUGGAAAAAGCUAUGGAACAAGGGGUACCAGAAGGUGGAGAACCAAAGAAUGUUGCUGUUGUUGUUGCUGACAUUCUCACUAAAGAAUGUCCCUCCAGCACAUUCCUUCAAAAUGUUGGCCUUGAGUCAAGCUCCAAGAAGAAGUUCAACAGAUCUACAGCUACUUUGGAUGCUCAUGUACAAGAACUAGAGUACAAGCUUGAGAAGGAGAGGUGA